rnacentral:ncRNA from 1 species
AAGUAAUUGAACUUUGACCUCAAGGAGCCGUUCAUUCUGAUAAUUGGUAUUUGGGAUUGCCUGAGCAGGCAAUGCCCGAAGCUAUUAUCCGUUGGGCUAUGGCUGAGCGCCUCUAAGUCAGAGCCCGUGCUAGAA